CAUCAUAGGGUUUGGGCCCAAAAGAGUUAUAAACAAGUAGUUAUUAUUAGUAGAGUCAAAAAAAAAAGUAGUCGAGCUCCGCGACCCGCGUGAUGACAUGCACCGAUCUCCGUAUUAUUGAACGUGGCUUAAAAUCUCCCGUAUUAAUUAACUGGUUAAGGUUUGCUGAAUAUGGGGGGGGGGGGGGGGGGGGGGUGUAUGGGCCCAAAUUAUAUUAUGUUUUUAAAAUUAAAAAGUAAAAAAAAAUAGUAAUAAUUACGAAAAAAAAUAUUUUACGUCGUCAGCAUAACAUUAAACCCUAAUCCCUAAAUUCUAAUCCCUAAACCCUUAAUCCUAAACCCUAAACCCUUGGAUAAACCCUAAACUCUAGGAUAAAUCCAAAACUCUAAAUCAAAAUCACUAUACACUAAAACAUUCAAGCGUUUAGGGUUUUAGUGUUUUUUAUUUAGAGUUUAGGAUUUAUCCAAGGGUUUAGGGUUUACCCAAUGGUUUAGGGUUUACCCAAGGGUUUAGGAUUUAUCCAAGGGUUUAGGAUUUACCCAAGGGUUUAGGGUUUAUCCAAGGGUUUAGGGUUUAGGAUUUAGGGUUUAGGGAUUAGGAUUUAGGGUUUAGUAUUUUGUUGAAAACAUCAAAAAUAUUUUUUUUUUUAAUUCUUUUUUCUGUAACUAUUAUCUUUUUUUAUUUUAAAAACAUAAUAUAAUUUGAGAAUAUUUGGUUUCCUUUUUUAAAAGAUAUCGAAUUUGAAAUAAUGAAAUCCUAUUGGUUGGUGAACCUAGAGGUUCACCUUAAGAGUCAUUCUUGGGUUCACUCCCUAAGGUGAACCUCUAGGUUCACCAACCAAUAGGAUUUCAUUAUUUCAAAUUCGAUAUCAUUUAAAAAAGGAAACCAAAUAUUCUCAAAUUAUAUUAUGUUUUUAAAAUAAAUAAAAAUAAUAGUUACAGAAAAAAGAAUUAAAAAAAAAAAUAUUUUUGAUGUUCUCAACAAAAUACUAAAACCUAAAUCCUAAUCCCUAAACCCUAAAUCCUAAACCCUAAACCCUUGGAUAAACCCUAAACCCUUGGGUAAAUCCUAAACCCUUGGAUAAAUCCUAAACCCUUGGGUAAACCCUAAACCAUUGGGUAAACCCUAAACCCUUAGAUAAAUCCUAAACUCUAAAUAAAAAACACUAAAACCCUAAACGCUUGAAUGUUUUAGUGUAUAGUGAUUUUGAUUUAGAGUUUUGGAUUUAUCCUAGAGUUUAGGGUUUAUCCAAGGGUUUAGGGUUUAGGAUUAAGGGUUUAGGGAUUAGAAUUUAGGGUUUAGGGUUUAAUGUUAUGCUGACGACGUAAAAUAUUUUUUUUUUGUAAUUAUUACUAUUUUUUUUUUUACUUUUUAAUUUUAAAAACAUAAUAUAAUUUGACAAUAUUUUGUUUCCUUUUUUAAAAGAUAUCGAAUAUAAAAUAAAAGAAUCCUAUUGGUUGGUGAACCUAGAGGUUCACCCUAGGGGGUGGACCUAAGAAUAAGUCUUAAUUAAAUGGUCAAGGAUUUUUUUUUUUUGCUAAAAUUUGGUGAAAUGGUUAAGGUUUGCGUGAUGGUAUUGGGUACGACUAAGAAUGGUAACAAUCAAUAACCUAAUUCAUUGAUUAUCCAUUAACCAAAUAUAUGCAUACAUACACAUGAUAGGCUGCAUAGGAUUAGGAUCCAAUAUUAUUACUAUUAUUAUUAUAAUGAAUCUCCAAUAUUAUUUAUUAGUUUUCG
rnacentral:lncRNA from 1 species